rnacentral:ncRNA from 1 species
UGAAAAGUUUUAGCAUCAGGCCAGAGAAAACCCAGGUGGAGGCGUGUAGCGGUUCUGACGUCAAAACCGAUCAACGAUUCUGAGUUUUGGGGCGAAAGACUAAUCGAA